rnacentral:lncRNA from 1 species
UGUGACCAUCUACUGGAUGCGUCAAUUAAUACCAUAAAAUAGUGGAAUGGUCCACAUGGUGGAUGUAUCGGUCCACAUAUAUCACCUUGAAUUCUUUCAAGGAACUUUGGUGAUUCUUUAUCGAUUUUGGUUGGCGAUGGCCUUACGAUCAAUUUUCCUAGAGAACAUGCAACACAUGUCAUUUUAUUCCCUUGAGAAAUCUCCUGGAUUUUCAGUGGAUGACCAUGUGAACUCUCUAUGAUUUUACGCAUCAUUGUAGUGCCUGGGUGGCCAAGGCGAUCAUGCCAUAACGUGAACUCUUCUGGGUUCCGUUU